GGGAGGAAGGGGCGGGCCUGGGCGGGGUCGCGGCGUUCUCGGGUGUUGGCGCGCAGGUGCCUCGAGGCCCCUGCGGGCUGUGGCGGCGCGACCGCAUCCUCUCCACCCACGCCCCGCGACCCCGUGCAGGGAGCCGCCGUUGCGGGGGGGGUCGCACAGCGGGGAGGGGUGGAGGCGACCGCGGCUCUGGGGUACCCGAGGGGGGACCCAUCGGGGGGCACCUGCGUUGCGUUUAAACAGGCCUCCCCACGGGCCGCGGUGUGCGGGUGGAGGGCUCUGACUGUGUCCCGCCCUGGAGGGUUCCACGGAGUCCACGGAGGGUUCCACGGAGUCCGCGGAGGCUUCCACGGAGUCCGCGGCCUCCAGGGCCGUGUUGGAGACCCGCUGACUUCUCACGUUGCCACUGGUACGUUUGCCGCUGCAGGAGGCAAUCUGUUCUUUUCCAACAAAGUUCCUCUGCUUCCCCGGGAGAAACCUGCUUAGGAGACAGAUGUUUUUAGAAAAAGCAGAGUAGGAAAACCGAGGCAGAAAAGGACAUGUGGGGUUGAUACUGUGUUGAUGGUGAGGAAGGGUGCCCCAGCCUCAAUGGAGACCCUUCAUCUCCGGGGUGGUGGGUGCGUUAACCUGCCCCGGAAAGCGGGUGCUGGUCUGAAAUCAUUGCAUCGUAAAUGUGAGAGUUUGUUCCAAGGAAAGCGCUGAUGCUGUUGGCUUCAGGAAGAAUACAACAGAAGCUUCAUUCUGAGACUUCUGGGAGGCCACGGGUGGGCUUCAGCUUGACACCCGGAAGUUUCUAAACCAAGUGCGCUGGGCACCAGGAGCCAAAGAAUGCCGCGGUGCUGCUGGUUCAGUGCAGCAGCAGGAGUCCCCCCACCGCCCUGUGUGUGGGCCUCCAUGUGGGCUGGACAGACUGACCCAAGCGACGUCUAACAGCACGUACACUGAGCGUGGGGCCCCAGGCGGUUCAGGGGCCGGAUGGAUGUCAACAGCCCACUUCUCCCCGGUCCAUGAGGAGCCACGGAAAUGACAAGAGCAGAUCUCAGGAAGCCCCAGCCCUGCCCGACAGGUGACCUCCCGGAACACGGGAACCCUUGGCCAGAGCCAGUCUGGUACUGAGCCUGGUCCGGUGUGUGUACAGAGCUGGAUGUCCUCUCACUGCCCAUGUGGAUUUGUGUGACCAGCGCGGCUCUCACCAUGCUGAAUGGUACCACGGGCUCCAGGGUCCCCGUGCUGCCCUCCCCCUGCACUGUCCCCCGGCCUCUGACCACCAGCCUCCUCAGCAGGGAAACUGUCCUUUUGAGGCUAGAAACGGAAACACAGUAUAUGUGACGCACAGAGAUGGGUGCUGUGCUCUGUGUCCUUCCCAUGGGGCCAGCGGUCUGCUGCUUUCCAUCUCAAAGCAGUGUCUGGGCUGUGGGGGCACAGGGGACGUGACCACAUGCUGCUGAAGACCAUCUGGGACUCUCCCACUUCGGAGCUGUUACCUGUAAAGCUGUGCGGACUAUUCGUAGACAGUGUUUUGUGCCUGAUCACAUGACUUGUUAUUCCUGGACAGAGGUCCAGGAGAGUGGCAGGGUCACGCUGUAAGGGGGGGCGUGCCGCCUCUGUUCCGCGGGCACUCUGUGGGCUCCUGCUUCCCUGGGGCCCUGCCAGCACUUGCUGGCCUCACUGGCUCUUCCUUUCGCCUCUCUGAUGGUGCGGGCGAUCCGCAGGCUGCCCGGGAGAGGGCCACAAUGGGGCGCCCGGGCAGCCGUGACCACAGAGUCCGCCUUGGGCCCCGUGGAAGGUUCCAGCUUAGGGAGCGUAGAAGAGUCACGGGAGGAGCCCUGUCCUUCCGACCACACAUGGGGGAAGGGAGGGGGUGUGGAGGGCAGGUUCAGGCACCCGGGUUUUAGGGGGUGUUUUCUGGAAGCAAAGAGGGGGCAUAGGGAGACAUCUGUGUCUGGCACCCCAGGGACCUGAAAGCCACCCCAGGUCCCGCUGGUAGGAGGAUUGUUUUGUUUGAGGGAAACAUUCUCAGAGCCCGACACCGUCUUUGCUGAUAACUGAACACAGGCUCGCUGUGGGAGUUACAACGCACAGUAACCCGUCACCCAGCAAACGAGGGAAGUCCUGGUGAACCAGCAAGGGAACGGCACAGCCGACCCACCAGCAGCCCGGUCACUGCUGUUCUAGGCAAGGCGUGGGGCCCAUGGCGUCUGACUCCCAGGGCGCACCUUCCCCUCAGGAGGCGGCAGAGCUCACCGCGGGGGCCCCCAGUGCUGGGUCGUGGGAGGAGGCUUCACUGCCGAGAGCCGCUCGGGGCAGCCCAGCCGGGCCCUGCCAGACCCAGGGUCUCACUGCGGCCCCACGGACUCUCCCUGUGAAGGGUUGACAUGGCCGCGCUUCCCCAUUCCGGCCCACACGACCCGACCAUGCUGAGCGGCCGAGUGCGUGUCAGCCGCAGGCGUUAGUGGCGGCGUCCCCACGCAGCCUCCCCGGCGCAAACACUUCACCGAGCUCAGAACACUGAAGUCACAAAGAAGCGAAAUUCUAGCCGACCACACACAGCAGGGACGGAGCAGAGGUCACGGGCUGUGUCCCUGGCAGCGGGGACCAUCCACGUGGACGGCAGCGCUGGCCCAUCAGGCCCUGGGACCUCCAGGCUCAGAGCCGCCGGGGUGGAGAACACCCUAGGGGUCCUCGGGGUCCGUGCUCCAGCCUCCGGGUGCUCCGGGGCCAGGGAGCUUGGGGGCCCAGCUGCCCUGUCCUCCCGGCCUGUGGGGAAAGCAGCCUCCACCUGAUUUUCUGUGCCUCAUUCCAUUGGGCAGGUCUCGGGGGGCAGCAGCGGAGAGCGGCUGCCCGGCGCCCAUGCUGCCCCCCCACUGCACCCCGCAGGCUUGCUGCUGGGGCUCCUUGUGGUGACGCUACAGCGCAGCGGGAUGACGGCCCUUGUCGGCGACUUUCCCCAUAUUAGCUCGGUGUCCCUGCGCAACCGGGAAGCAGGAGGCAGGCGUCACUUCUCUCUUCCAGGCUCAUGGGUGGGGGCUUCCUGAAAGCCCGAUCACUGGGGACAGAGCCAGGACACCAACCCAGGUUCUACAGGUUCCAGGCUGGUGUCCCCGCCCAGCCACCUGACGGACACUCGGCAGGUGCUCCCGGUCAGAAUCCCUGCGAGUGCGGGAGUAGGUCCCCGCGUCGUGGCCAGCGCGGCUG